rnacentral:rRNA from 1 species
ACUCCUACGGGAGGCAGCAGUGGGGAAUUUUGGACAAUGGGCGAAAGCCUGAUCCAGCAAUGCCGCGUGUGUGAAGAAGGCCUUCGGGUUGUAAAGCACUUUUGUCCGGAAAGAAAUCCUUGGCUCUAAUACAGUCGAGGGAUGACGGUACCGGAAGAAUAAGCACCGGCUAACUACGUGCCAGCAGCCGCGGUAAUACGUAGGGUGCGAGCGUUAAUCGGAAUUACUGGGCGUAAAGCGUGCGCAGGCGGUUUGCUAAGACCGAUGUGAAAUCCCCGGGCUCAACCUGGGAACUGCAUUGGUGACUGGCAGGCUAGAGUAUGGCAGAGGGGGGUAGAAUUCCACGUGUAGCAGUGAAAUGCGUAGAGAUGUGGAAGAAUACCGAUGGCGAAGGCAGCCCCCUGGGCCAAUACUGACGCUCAUGCACGAAAGCGUGGGGAGCAAACAGGAUUAGAAACCCCUGUAGUCCCAUGAU